CAGUAGCCGCGGGAAUACGAAGGGUGCAAGCGUUACUCGGAAUUACUGGGCGUAAAGCGUGCGUAGGUGGUGGUUUAAGUCCGUUUUGAAAGCCCUGGGCUCAACCUGGGAAUUGCAGUGGAUACUGGGUCACUAGAGUGUGGUAGAGGAUAGUGGAAUUUCCGGUGUAGCAGUGAAAUGCGUAGAGAUCGGAAGGAACAUCUGUGGCGAAGGCGACUAUCUGGGCCAACACUGACACUGAGGCACGAAAGCGUGGGGAGCAAACAGGAUUAGAUACCCGAGUAGUCCCUGUCUCUUAUAA
rnacentral:rRNA from 1 species